ensembl:snRNA U6 U6 spliceosomal RNA
GUGUUUGCUUUGGUAGUACAUAUAUUAAUAAAUUGGAGAUUAGCAUGGCCCCGCCCAAGGAUGAUGCACACAUUUGUGAAGUCUUCCAUAUUUUU